rnacentral:siRNA from 1 species
UUGUGUUGAAAUCUCCACCUAU